rnacentral:rRNA from 1 species
UGCGUAGGCGGUUUGGUAAGUCAGAUGUGAAAUUCCUGGGCUCAACCGAGGAACUGCAUUUGAUACUGCCGGACUAGAGUACUGGAGAGGAGACUGGAAUUUACGGUGUAGCAGUGAAAUGCGUAGAUAUCGUAAGGAAGGCCAGUGGCGAAGGCGAGUCUCUGGACAGUAACUGACGCUGAGGCACGAAGCUAGGGGAGCAAACG